CUGUUGAUUGAUAGUCCCAACAUUGAUGUCUAGGAGUCAAAGCAUCGGUGAAUGAGCCAAGGAC
rnacentral:tRNA from 1 species